GUGGAUUAGAUACCUUGGUAGUCCACGCCGUAAACUAUGGUCGCUAGCCGUCGGAUAGCAUGCUAUUCGGUGGCGCAGCUAACGCAUUAAGCGACCCGCCUGGGGAGUACGGCCGCAAGGUUAAAACUCAAAGGAAUUGACGGGGGCCCGCACAAGCGGUGGAGCAUGUGGUUUAAUUCGACGCAACGCGAAGAACCUUACCUACCCUUGACAUGUCCGGACGACUUCCAGAGAUGGAUUUCUCCCAGCAAUGGGCCGGAACACAGGUGCUGCACGGCCGUCGACAACU
rnacentral:rRNA from 1 species